UUUACACAUAUCUCAAAUUAUUUACAUAAAUUUCUUUACUUUCAACUUUUUCUCUCUUAAACAUUAUACAUUUCACUAGUAUUGUGGGAUCUAAUCGUUCCUUUUAAUUAAUUGGAGAUUUAAGAGACAUUCUCAGCUCAUUUUUUUUAUCAACUCAAUGGUAGAGCGCUCCCUUAAUAAGCUCAUUUUUUUUAUCAACUCAAUGGUAGAGCGCUCCCUUAAUAAUUGCAUUGUUGUGUCCGGAUUGUAAGGGCUCUCAGCCACAUGAAUAAUUCACAUUGAAGGUUAAUGGAAAAAAAAAUUGAAAUUUACAUAUAUAUACACUAACUAAAAUUAUCUAAUUACAUUAUAUAUUAAUUUGCUAAAAUAUUUACUCAUAUCUCAAAUUAUUUACAUAAAUUUCUUUACUUUCAAUUUUUUCUCUCUUAAAAAUUAUACAUCACAAUUUCAGAGUUUGGGUUAAGGGUGUUCAAAAAAAUGGAAAAAAAAAAGCUGCUGCUCCCACUAAGAAUCAAACCCAAAUUGUUGCUGCAAAUUUGCACACCCUUGACCAAUAGGCUAUGCUUCUUUAGCUUGUCAAAGGUGUUCAACAACAUGCUCAUGUAAUUGGAUAGAUUUCAAUAAAUUCUGCUCUGAAUAUUGGAAGAAGAUAGAAUAAUCUGUGGAUUUUGUGUAUUAGCUGCUUAGUGCUGCUUCAUUUUUUGUGUGAUUGACUUGCUUUCAAGAUGAUGAUGUUUGAGGAAAUGGGGUUCUGUGGCAAUCUUGAUUUCUUUCCUGAUCCGCUAAAGGAAGUGGAAGUGGAAGUGGUUGCCCCACAGAAUUAGAUUGAGCCGGAUUCUGUGGUGGAUGAUGAUUAUAGUGAUGAGGAGCUUGAUGUUGAUGAGACUAACUUUAAUGUUCAUGAUCUAUUCUAUUUGCUGAGCUUAUAUUCUAUGCUACGUACUGAUUUAUCGUAACAAAGACUGCAAGUGGGUGUUGAGGGCGUCUUCUAUGAAUGAAUCGGAAAUUAAUGCUUAUAUGAGAAGUGGGUGUUGAAGGCAUCUUAUCCUUAUUCAUACUCCUUAUACAUAUAUUGUGGGUGUGUAUAUACUAUGUAAUUU